rnacentral:rRNA from 1 species
UACGUAGGGCGCAAGCGUUGUCCGGAAUUAUUGGGCGUAAAGAGCUCGUAGGUGGCUUGUCACGUCGGGUGUGAAAGCUUGGGGCUUAACUCCAGGUCUGCAUUCGAUACGGGCUGGCUAGAGGUAGGUAGGGGAGAACGGAAUUCCUGGUGUAGCGGUGAAAUGCGCAGAUAUCAGGAAGAACACCCGUGGCGAAGGCGGCUCUCUGGGACGGUACUGACGCUGAGGCGCGAAAGCUAGGGGAGCAAACGGG